AAUUUUGCGCAAUGGAGGAAACUCUGACGCAGCGACGCCGCGUGAGCGAUGAAGGUCNNNGGAUCNUAAAGCUCUGUCCUUGGNGACNAAGAUCGAAAGAUUUGACGGUACCCGAGGAGGAAGCCCCGGCUAACUACGUGCCAGCAGCCGCGGUAAUACGUAGGGGGCAAGCGUUGUCCGGAAUUAUUGGGCGUAAAGGGUGCGUAGGCGGCUUUUUAAGUCAGAUGUGAAAGACCACGGCUUAACCGUGGGGUUGCAUUUGAAACUGGAAGGCUUGAGUAUCGGAGAGGGUAGUGGAAUUCCCAGUGUAGCGGUGAAAUGCGUAGAUAUUGGGAGGAACACCAGUGGCGAAGGCAGCCCCCUGGGAUGAUACUGACGCUCAUGCACGAAAGCGUGGGGAGCAAACAG
rnacentral:rRNA from 1 species